rnacentral:rRNA from 1 species
UACGGAGGAUCCAAGCGUUAUCCGGAUUUAUUGGGUUUAAAGGGUGCGUAGGCGGUUCUUUUAAGUCAGGGGUGAAAGACGGUAGCUUAACUAUCGCAGUGCCUUUGAUACUGAAGAACUUGAAUACACUUGAGGUAGGCGGAAUGUGACAAGUAGCGGUGAAAUGCAUAGAUAUGUCACAGAACACCAAUUGCGAAGGCAGCUUACUAAAAGUGUCAUUGACGCUGAGGCACGAAAGCGUGGGGAUCAAACAGG